GGGCCGAGACGGUGAUGACAGAGAGCGACAACGACAACCAGGUGCGAGACCGAGACAAUGAGAAGCAAGAAGACGACGACCACUACCAUCUGAAGGACCAGAUGCUGGUUCCGUCUGCUUCUGCCGCCGACGAAGCGAGCUCAAGGAAGGGAGUGCUUGAGUUGAUGAGAGCUUAACAGAUCGGAGAUGAGAGGUGAGAGACCGAAGAUGAGACGAGCUGACGAGAGCUUGAGCUCAUGGGAGAGAGGGGCGAGAAACUGAGAAAGAGAGUCAAGAGAGGAGAGAGCGUUGAGGGCUGAGGGUGAUCUUCAGCAAUUAGGGCUUCGAGAGGGAAAAGGGGAAAGGGGGAAGG